CCCUUGGCACGACCUUACUUGAACAGGAUCUGUUCUAUAGGCUCGUACCUCUGUAUCCUUGAGUUCUAAGGAGACAGGAACAUAAGUCUGGUUGAUGAGACAUAACCGUGCGAUCAGAGCGUGAUUAACGGCUCUGGUGAGACAUGUAUUGGACUCAUCAGGCUGUAGAGGAUCGUUCCCGAUGUUGGUUCCAACCUUGGGGUGGUCGCAUGGUUGUCUGACAGACUCUCCUGAUCUUUUUUUCUCUUUUUACCAGAAUCCCGGCAGCCAUGGCUGCCGAAACAGUAAUCGCGUCUUCUCUGUUGCAACCUCUGAUGUCUUCAUUCUCGAAACCGAAGCCAGCAUUUCAGUCCGUUGGACUCUCACCAUUGAAUCCGUCGCAAAGGCAAUUCCCAGGUGGAAGGCGUUGUCACGUUAACCCUAAAAGAAGAGGGUGAUGUGAGGAUUUUCCGACUACAGGUCCUACGACGGUGAAAGUUUGUGUCACCGGACGCACUCCUGGACCUCACGGGUUCCAUCUGGUCUUUCCCCCCUUUUCUCCUUCGCAAUUUGGGUCCUCUAAUGCAGCAUGUGUAUGGUGACGUAGUAUGAAUUACUGAAUUGUUGGUUACUGUUUCAUGCCAAUGCAGAUACCUCUGAGGGGGUCUAAAUGCCGUUGUUGGAAGAGCUUUUGUGGUUCAUGAGCUGGAGGAUGACCUUGUAAAGGGUGGACAUGAACUUAGCCUUACCACUUGGAAUGCUGGUGCAAGAUUUGCCUGUGGUGUGGUUGGGUUGACUCCAGUUCAGUGAGAGCCCCUAGUUCGAAACCAAUCUGAUAUCCAACUACGGAUUCUUGUUUCUUCCUUUUACAAGUGCUAUUAAGAGUUAAAUAGUCUUUUUGAAGUCAAGAGGAUGCACUCAGGGUUGUUGAGAAGAAAGUGUUUAAGCCAUAUUGUAGAAUUUGAGGGACAUUACCACGUCUGUAGGUACUUCCCUCAGUAGGACAGAUGUUUGGGUUUUAAAGACCUUGUUCUUGGCUUUUAUAUGCAUUACUGUGUUGAAUCACGAAUGCUAGACUCCUGUUUUGAAAAAUUUCUGUAAGGAAUAAACUUAGUUUCGAUUUUUUAAUCGAAAUCCUUGGAUGUGGAGAAAAAUGUAAUAUUUAUGGUCAGCUUUAAUGUUAAUAAAUCUGAGAAACCGGAUUUGAGCCA